rnacentral:rRNA from 1 species
ACUGGUAGUUUGAUCCUGGCUCAGAUUGAACGCUGGCGGCAUGCCUUACACAUGCAAGUCGAACGGCAGCACGGGAGCAAUCCUGGUGGCGAGUGGCGAACGGGUGAGUAAUAUAUCGGAACGUGCCCAGUCGUGGGGGAUAACGUAGCGAAAGCUACGCUAAUACCGCAUACGAUCUAUGGAUGAAAGCGGGGGAUCGCAAGACCUCGCACGAUUGGAGCGGCCGAUAUCAGAUUAGGUAGUUGGUGGGGUAAAGGCCCACCAAGGCGACGAUCUGUAGCUGGUCUGAGAGGACGACCAGCCACACUGGAACUGAGACACGGUCCAGACUCCUACGGGAGGCAGCAGUGGGGGAAUUUUGGACAAUGGGCGCAAGCCCUGAUCCAGCAAUGCCGCGUGCAGGAUGAAGGCC